rnacentral:lncRNA from 1 species
CGGGCCCAUCUCUAGCUCCGGCUCCAGCUCCCGGACCCGGAGGUCCACGUCACCACUUCAACGGCGAGGCUCAAGUCAAAGACUUCAUCCACACUCUCUUGCAUUACGGUGGCUACAAUGAGAUGGCUGACAUUCUCGUCAACCUAACCUCCCUAGCCACCGAGAUGGGUCGUCUCGUCUCUGAAGGCUACGUUUUAACCGUCUUGGCUCCUAACGACGAAGCCAUGGCUAAGCUCACGACGGAUCAGUUGAGCGAGCCAGGUGCUCCUGAGCAGAUUGUGUAUUACCAUAUCAUACCGGAGUAUCAGACGGAGGAGAGUAUGUACAACGCCGUUAGGAGAUUCGGGAAAGUGAAGUAUGAUUCGUUGAGAUUCCCACACAAAGUGUUGGCUCAAGAAGCUGAUGGCUCUGUUAAGUUCGGACACGGUGAAGGCUCUGCUUAUUUGUUUGAUAGUCAAAGACUUCAUCCACACUCUCUUGCAUUACGGUGGCUACAAUGAGAUGGCUGACAUUCUCGUCAACCUAACCUCCCUAGCCACCGAGAUGGGUCGUCUCGUCUCUGAAGGCUACGUUUUAACCGUCUUGGCUCCUAACGACGAAGCCAUGGCUAAGCUCACGACGGAUCAGUUGAGCGAGCCAGGUGCUCCUGAGCAGAUUGUGUAUUACCAUAUCAU